GGUGGCUCAGUGGUAGAGCACUUGCCUUGCAUGCAUGAGGUCCUGGGUUCGAUUCCUCGGCACCA
rnacentral:tRNA from 1 species